AACGAACGCUGGCGGCAUGCCUAACACAUGCAAGUCGAACGAGACCUUCGGGUCUAGUGGCGCACGGGUGCGUAACGCGUGGGAACCUGCCCUUAGGUUCGGAAUAACUCCCCGAAAGGGGUGCUAAUACCGGAUAAUGUCUUCGGACCAAAGAUUUAUCGCCUUUGGAUGGGCCCGCGUUGGAUUAGCUAGUUGGUAGGGUAAAAGCCUACCAAGGCGACGAUCCAUAGCUGGUCUGAGAGGAUGCUCAGCCACACUGGGACUGAGACACGGCCCAGACUCCUACGGGAGGCAGCAGUGGGGAAUAUUGGACAAUGGGCGAAAGCCUGAUCCAGCAAUGCCGCGUGAGUGAUGAAGGCCUUAGGGUUGUAAAGCUCUUUUACCCGGGAUGAUAAUGACAGUACCGGGAGAAUAAGCUCCGGCUAACUCCGUG
rnacentral:rRNA from 1 species